rnacentral:tRNA from 1 species
AGGGGAUUCGUUUAGUGGUAAGACAUCACCCUUUGAAGGUGAUUACGUAGGUUCGAUUCCUGCAUCCCCUU